rnacentral:snRNA from 1 species
GCGGAUUAAAACCGCUUCUGUUUC